UACGGAAGGCAGCAGUGGGGAAUAUUGCACAAUGGGCGCAAGCCUGAUGCAGCCAUGCCGCGUGUAUGAAGAAGGCCUUCGGGUUGUAAAGUACUUUCAGUCGUGAGGAAGGUGUUAAGGUUAAUAACCUUAGCAAUUGACGUUAGCGACAGAAGAAGCACCGGCUAACUCCGUGCCAGCAGCCGCGGUAAUACGGAGGGUGCGAGCGUUAAUCGGAAUUACUGGGCGUAAAGGGCACGCAGGCGGUUAAUUAAGUUGGAUGUGAAAUCCCCGGGCUUAACCUGGGAAUGGCAUUCAAGACUGGUUAGCUAGAGUCUUGUAGAGGGGGUAGAAUUCCAUGUGUAGCGGUGAAAUGCGUAGAGAUGUGGAGGAAUACCGGUGGCGAAGGCGGCCCCUGGGACAAAGACUGACGCUCAUGCGCGAAAGCGUGGGGAGCAAACAGGAUUAGAUACC
rnacentral:rRNA from 1 species